rnacentral:rRNA from 1 species
GGGAAGAAACGGUAUCUCCUAAUACGGGGUGCUAAUGACGGUACCUGAAGAAUAAGCACCGGCUAACUACGUGCCAGCAGCCGCGGUAAUACGUAGGGUGCAAGCGUUAAUCGGAAUUACUGGGCGUAAAGCGUGCGCAGGCGGUUAUAUAAGUCAGAUGUGAAAUCCCCGGGCUCAACCUGGGAACUGCAUUUGAGACUGUAUGGCUAGAGUGUGUCAGAGGGGGGUAGAAUUCCACGUGUAGCAGUGAAAUGCGUAGAUAUGUGGAGGAAUACCGAUGGCGAAGGCAGCCCCCUGGGAUAACACUGACGCUCAUGCACGAAAGCGUGGGGAGCAAACAGGAUUAAAUACCCUGGUAGUCCAGGCCCUAGACGAUGUCUACUAGUUGUCGGGACUUAAUUGUCUUGGUAACGCAGCUAAGGCGUGAAGUAGACCGCCUG